GACGAACGCUGGUGGCGUGCUUAACACAUGCAAGUCGAACGGGAUUUAGUAAACAGAAGCCUCGGUGGAAGAUUACUAAUGAGAGUGGCGAACGGGUGAGUAACGCGUGAGCAACCUGCCUAUGACAGUGGGAUAGCCUCGGGAAACCGGGAUUAAUACCGCAUAAAAUCGUAGAAACACAUGUUUUAACGGUCAAAGAUUUAUCGGUCAUAGAUGGGCUCGCGUCUGAUUAGCUAGUUGGUGAGAUGACAGCCCACCAAGGCGACGAUCAGUAGCCGGUCUGAGAGGAUGAACGGCCACAGUGGAACUGAGACACGGUCCAAACUCCUACGGGAGGCAGCAGUGGGGAAUAUUGCACAAUGGGGGAAACCCUGAUGCAGCGACGCCGCGUGAACGAAGAAGGUAUUCGUAUCGUAAAGUUCUGUCCUAUGGGAAGAUAAUGACAGUACCAUAGAAGAAAGCUCCGGCUAAAUACGUG
rnacentral:rRNA from 1 species